GAUGAACGCUAGCGGGAGGCUUAAUACAUGCAAGUCGUACGGUAUAUAUUUCUUCGGAGAUAUAGAGAGUGGCGAACGGGUGAGUAACGCGUACACAAUCUACCCUUAAGUGGAGGAUAGCCCUGGGAAACUGGGAUUAAUACUCCAUAGUAUUAUCAAAUUGAAGGAUUAGAUAAUUAAAGAUUUAUUGCUUAAGGAUGAGUGUGCGUCUCAUUAGCUAGUUGGUAAGGUAACGGCUUACCAAGGCGACGAUGGGUAGGGGGCGUGAGAGCGUGGACCCCCACACGGGUACUGAGACACGGACCCGACUCCUACGGGAGGCAGCAGUAAGGAAUAUUGGACAAUGGAGGCAACUCUGAUCCAGCCAUCCCGCGUGCAGGAUGAAUGCCCUAUGGGUUGUAAACUGCUUUUAGAUAGGAAGAAAGACUGUGAUUUAUCAUAGGUUGACGGUACUAUCAGAAUAAGCACCGGCUAACUCCG
rnacentral:rRNA from 1 species